GAUGAACGCUGGCGGCGUGCCUAAUACAUGCAAGUCGAGCGAACAGACGAGGAGCUUGCUCCUCUGACGUUAGCGGCGGACGGGUGAGUAACACGUGGAUAACCUACCUAUAAGACUGGGAUAACUUCGGGAAACCGGAGCUAAUACCGGAUAAUAUAUUGAACCGCAUGGUUCAAUAGUGAAAGACGGUUUUGCUGUCACUUAUAGAUGGAUCCGCGCCGCAUUAGCUAGUUGGUAAGGUAACGGCUUACCAAGGCGACGAUGCGUAGCCGACCUGAGAGGGUGAUCGGCCACACUGGAACUGAGACACGGUCCAGACUCCUACGGGAGGCAGCAGUGGGGAAUCUUCGGCAAUGGGCGAAAGCCUGACGGAGCAACGCCGCGUGAGUGAUGAAGGUCUUCGGAUCGUAAAACUCUGUUAUUAGGGAAGAACAAAUGUGUAAGUAACUAUGCACGUCUUGACGGUACCUAAUCAGAAAGCCACGGCUAACUACGUG
rnacentral:rRNA from 1 species